CCUACGGGAGGCAGCAGUGGGGAAUAUUGGACAAUGGGCGCAAGCCUGAUCCAGCCAUGACGCGUGAAUGAUGAAGGCCUUAGGGUUGUAAAGUUCUUUCACCGGAGAAGAUAAUGACGGUAUCCGGUGAAGAAGCCCCGGCUAACUUCGUGCCAGCAGCCGCGGUUAUACGAAGGGGCCUAGCGUUGUUCGGA
rnacentral:rRNA from 1 species